GACGAACGCUGGCGGCGUGCUUAACACAUGCAAGUCGAACGGAAAGGCCUGCUUUCCCUUGUGGAUUGCGGGUACUCGAGUGGCGAACGGGUGAGUAACACGUGAGUGAUCUGCCCCCAACUUGGGUAUAAGCCUGGGAAACUGGGUCUAAUUCCCGAUAGGACUGCAGGGUGGUGCCUGUGGUGGAAAACGAUUUUCUAGUGGUUGGGGAUGAGCUCGCGGCCUAUCAGCUUGUUGGUGGGGUAAUGGCCUACCAAGGCGGCGACGGGUAGCCGGCCUGAGAGGGCGGACGGCCACAUUGGGACUGGGAUACGGCCCAGACUCCUGCGGGAGGCAGCAGUGGGGAAUAAUGCACAAUGGGCGGAAGCCUGAUGCAGCGACGCCGCGUGGGGGAUGACGGCCUUCGGGUUGUAAACUCCUUUCGACCGCGAGGAAGCCACCUGGUUGGAAGGGUGGUGACGGUAGUGGUAGAAGAAGCACCGGCUAACUACGUG
rnacentral:rRNA from 1 species